AUGACAACUUUGCCGGAACUAGCAUUUGCCUUUGCAAGGCUUGUCACAAGACACCAUCGCCCCAGGUUUGCUAGCCAGAACUUCGGCAUUGCUGCUUACCAUCGCCGGGCGUUUGGCACUCGCCUCCAUGGCCGCCUGGACAGGAAUUGUAGCCUCCGCCGCCGCAACCGUUGGGUGCCCCGACGCUGCUCCGGCCCUGUUGGUGGCCUCCGCCGUCGUCAUCACGGCAACAGCUGGGUGUGCCGACGCCACCAAACUGACAACCGCUGGGUGCAGCGCAACCACUCCAAGGGAACACCGGAGCCAGGCACGAGGACGGUUGUGCCCACGGAAGUGACGUCGGUCAUACCACAAGAGGCCGCUGCCGAACCAGUGGUUGUUGACGAACAAGUCGCUGCCGUGCCGGAGAUCGCAGCCGAAGAAGUUGCUGCCAUGCCGGACAUCGUCGCCGAGCAGAUGGUCGACGCAGAAUACGAAGACGAGGCCUCUACCUCAAACGUCAGCGCGGACGCCGACGACCUGAUGCCACUCCUGCCGGAGUUCACCGUUCCGCGCAUGGAGUGGCUGCUGGGCGGACCGAACGUCGGUUGGCCUGUCUACGAUCCCGAGCGUGACUUUGGCGACGAGGAACUUCCGGCGCCACCACCAGCAUCAUUUCCGACGAUGUACUACUGCCCGCUCCACGGGUACGGGCCACGCCUGCCGUUAUCGUCGCCGCUAACUGCGGUUGACAUGGAGACGCUACCAUCGGGCUUCGUCAUCAACCUGCUGCCGAAGGUGAAGACAGAGGAGAUCGAGACCGCUGUGCCGACGCCCGCUCUCCCAGCGCUCCCCGACCACAACCUCCCAGCACCGGAUGUGGAGGAGAAGGAGCACCAGGAAGCAGUGCCGCAGUCCGCACUCCCGACGCCCUCGCCGGAAGCCCGUGUACUACUCCGUCGCUUUGCAUCAGCCAUGGCUGCUCGCCCCACUGGAAUCCGCAUCGGCACCCGGUCGCCGAAAGCACUUGGCCUCACUGGCCGCGUCGCAGAUCUCAGCCUCCACGAGGCCGCCGCCCAAUCCCCACCGCGCCGCUGA
rnacentral:rRNA from 1 species